rnacentral:rRNA from 1 species
GCAGUAGCCGCGGGAAUACGAAGGGGGCUAGCGUUGCUCGAAAUGACUGGGCGUAAAGGGCGCGUAGGCGGUUUUGACAGUCAGAUGUGAAAUUCCUGGGCUUAACCUGGGGGCUGCAUUUGAGACGUCAAGACUAGAGUGUGAGAGAGGGUUGUGGAAUUCCCAGUGUAGAGGUGAAAUUCGUAGAUAUUGGGAAGAACACCGGUGGCGAAGGCGGCAACCUGGCUCAUUACUGACGCUGAGGCGCGAAAGCGUGGGGAGCAAACAGGAUUAGAUACCCCUGUAGUCCCUGUCUCUUAUAC